AGGAACACUAGCCAACAGAUCCAGGCAGAAGAUUGGCUCAGGUUCUGCAAGCAGCUGUUCAGCUUCCCACUUAGCCAGAGGGAAUAACACCACAGCCACACACGGCCUUGUGGAGAGCAGGUGACAGUGGCAAAAAAGCAGGAGGGCUGUGGAUGAGCAGAGAAGGAGCUGCUUACCUGCUUUUUAAGGGAACCGCUCACCGCCCUGCUGGUGGCUGCCCAAGCUGUUCGUGCACAUCCCUAAUCACAACUCUCCCAUGUGAGGUAUGCUUAUUAUUCAGGUUGUGCAGCCCAGAGGCAAUGUGCAUUUAUAUAAGGUGAGGACAGGGAGUUUCUAGCCAACUAGUCCUGCUCCCUUCUUAGGCAUAGGGUAUCAUGUUUGUGAUAUAAUUAAUAUAAUAUAAUGACUAGUGUAGUGUUGCACUAAGAGUUUCUUUCCUGCAGUACUACAGAUCCCAGCAGUCUUUGGAGCAGAGACAGGAAAUGGCAGCAUAGACAGAGUAGCAGACAGAGACUGGUCGGAAACAAAGGGUUAAUAAAUGUGCUAUGUUUAAUGAAGUUGUUUAUUAAAGACAUUAAUACAA